rnacentral:lncRNA from 1 species
AAAUAUAUUUGUUAUUUUUAUCUAGUUUAGAUUAUUAUUUGCUUAAAGACUAGUGCCCUUUUAGCGUAGUAAAAUGUAGAACCUUUUAGCGUAGAAUCCAUGUAGUUUAAGUAUCCUUUAUACUGAUAGAUCAAACACAAACUCUGUCCAAUUAAAUAUGAUAAAAAUUAAUUAUUUAAUUUACAAAAUAAACAUACAAAAUUAUGAAAAUAUUAAAAUUGACACACACAAGAAUUAAUGAUAGCUUGGUGCUAAUGGACCUCAAAUAUCGAGCCUGGAACUCAUAGGUAUAUACUCUGUCCAAUUAAAUAUGAUAAAAUUAAAUAUUUAAUUUACAAAACAAACAUACAAAAUUAUGAAAAUAUUAAAAUUGACACACACAAGGAUUCAGGAUAGCUUGGUGCUACUGGGCCUCAAAUAUCGAGCCUGGAACCCAUAGGUAUAUACUCUGUCCAAUUAAAUAUGAUAAAAAUUAAUUAUUUAAUUUACAAAACAAACAUACAAAAUUAUAAAAAUAUUAAAAUUGACACACACAAGAAUUCAGGAUAGCUUGGUACUACUGGACCUCAAAUAUCGAGCAUGGAACCCAUUGGUAUAUACUCUGUCCAAUUAAAUAUGCUAAAAAUUAAUUAUUUAAUUUAUAAAACAAACAUACAAAAUUAUGAAAAUAAUAAAAUUAGCACACACAAGAUCUCAGGAUAGCUUGGUGCUACUGGGCCUCAAAUAUCGAGCCUGGAACCCAUAGGUAUAUACUCUGUCCAAUUAAAUAUGAUAAAAAUUAAUUAUUUAAUUUACAAAACAAACAUACAAAAUUACGAAAAUAAUAAAAUUGACACACACAAGAACUCAGGAUACUUGGUCCUACUGGG